AAUAGUGAUUGGGUAACCGCUACAGUUUCGGCUGUAGAGGAAAGUCCAUGCUCGCACAGGCUGAGAUGCCUGUAGUGUUCGUGCCUAGCGAAAAAAUAAGCUAGGGUAGCUUGGUUUUCGGACGAAGCUAACGGCAGGGAACGCACCUAAGUCUUUAUAGAUAUGGUGUUAAUACCUUGAAAGUGCCACAGUGACGUAGUCUUACAAGAAAUUGUAAGAGUGGAACGAGGUAAACCCCUCGAGCGAGAAACCCAAAUAAUGGUAGGGGCACCUUCUCUAAGGAAUCCAACGAUGAGAGGGACAGAUACUUUAAAGUUUCUGUAGACAGAUGGUUACCACCUGCGUACAAGGAGCGAUCCGUUUGCAGUACAAAGGAACAGAACAUGGCUUACAGAUCACUAUUGAUU
rnacentral:RNase_P_RNA from 1 species